GGAGGGUGCAAGCGUUAUCCGGAUUCACUGGGUUUAAAGGGUGCGUAGGCGGAAUUGUAAGUCCGUGGUGAAAUCUCCGAGCUUAACUCGGAAACUGCCGUGGAUACUAUAGUUCUUGAAUGUUGUGGAGGUUUGCGGAAUAUGUCAUGUAGCGGUGAAAUGCUUAGAUAUGACAUAGAACACCGAUUGCGAAGGCAGCAGGCUACACAAAUAUUGACGCUGAGGCACGAAAGCGUGGGGAUCAAACAGGAUUAGAUACCCUGGUAGUCCACGCCCUAAACGAUGAUUACUCGACAUUUGCGAUAUACAGUAAGUGUCUGAGCGAAAGCAUUAAGUAAUCCACCUGGGAAGUACGACCGCAAGGUUGAA
rnacentral:rRNA from 1 species